AUGAAGAGCACACCCAUCAUCUGCGCCCUCGCCGUAUCUCUCGGGGCCAUCGCGCUGCUCUCCGGCAGCACCGAUGCCGCAUGCGCCGGCGACCGGUCCAUGUCCGUCGCCGGCGCAUGCGACAAGACGAGCGCGUGGCAGGGCCAGCGCGAGAUGGAGCUCUGCCAGAAGACGCUGCGCGGCGCACGGGACGGCCUCACGGCCAGCGCCUACGGCAUCAUCGCCGUGAGGGCCGCCCUUCAGUCGUCCGAGGCCACCGAGAGCGCCGGCAAGAAGCUGGCGCAGGACCCGAAGAUCUCCGAGGACGUGCGGGCGGUGUACCAGAGCUGCGUGGGCAUGUACGGCUUCGCGCGCGCGGACGUCGCCGCCAUGGAAGGCGCGCUGAAGGCCUGCUCGCUCGCGGACUUCCGGCGCUUCUGGGAGAGGGCGCUCGCCUCGGUGGAUUACUGCGCGCGGAAGCUGCGGCUCGUCGACGGCGACGUGCUGCAGCGCACGGUCUCGGCGGACAGGGAGAGGAUCUUGCUCGCUUUCAUCAUGGGAGGGCUUUCUUUUCAGAAAUGA
rnacentral:rRNA from 1 species